rnacentral:ribozyme from 1 species
UUUUUUUUUUUUUUUUUUUUUUUCCU